rnacentral:rRNA from 1 species
AAAUUGAAGAGUUUGAUCAUGGCUCAGAUUGAACGCUGGCGGCAGGCCUAACACAUGCAAGUCGAACGGUAACAGGAAGCAGCUUGCUGCUUCGCUGACGAGUGGCGGACGGGUGAGUAAUGUCUGGGAAACUGCCUGAUGGAGGGGGAUAACUACUGGAAACGGUGGCUAAUACCGCAUAACGUCGCAAGACCAAAGAGGGUCUUGCCAUCAGAUGUGCCCAGAU